rnacentral:rRNA from 1 species
CGCCAGCAGCCGCGGUAAGACAGAGGGUGCAAACGUUGUUCGGAAUUACUGGGCGUAAAGCGCGUGUAGGCGGCUCGGCAAGUCGGGUGUGAAAGCCCUGGGCUCAACCCAGGAAGUGCACUCGAAACUGCCGGGCUUGAGUCCCGGAGAGGAAGGCGGAAUUCUCGGUGUAGAGGUGAAAUUCGUAGAUAUCGAGAGGAACACCGGUGGCGAAGGCGGCCUUCUGGACGGUGACUGACGCUGAGACGCGAAAGCGUGGGGAGCAAACAGGAUUAGAUACCCUGGUAGUCCACGCCGUAAACGAUGGGUGCUAGGUGCUGCGGGCUUUGACCCCUGCGGUGCCGUAGCUAACGCAUUAAGCACCCCGCCUGGGGAGUACGGCCGCAAGGCUAAAACUUAAAGGAAUUGGCGGGGGAU